UGUGUCAUCCAUUUUUUUGUCUGUCACCUUUCAAUCAGUGUUUAGUUUGCAUUAAAAACAUUUUUUUUCUCUAAGUUUGUUUGAGACAACUCUCCACAUUUUGUUGGUUUUCCUGGGCCAUUUUUCCAAUUGAAUUCUUUUUCUUAAUACAUAAUUAAAGUAAGUAUUUUUAAGUGUUUUUGAAAGCAAAUAUACUUGCUGAUAUAAUUUAUUGAAAUUUUGUGAAUUAAAAUGUUCUCCAAAACAAUUGUUUCCUGUCAGAGUUUUAAACAAAUUACUCCAAAAAUUCCAGACAGUAGGCCAGCAAAAUGUCAAAACAAAUUUUAACUUUGAUCAUAUGGGUAAACUAUUCAAAUUCAUGUGACUCAACCUAAGUGUGCCAAAUAAAAUAAAAAUCAUUGAAAAAUGAAAUUUUCUGAUUUUCCUUUUUAAAAAUAGUUUACAGAAGAUGUUUCCAACUAUACUUUUUCUAUUACUUAUGGAAGAAAAUGAGAUUCUUGCCACAUCAUUUUUUUUCUUUUCUUUUUUAUUGCUUUCUGGACAUAAUUGACCAUUAAUUUUUUAUUUCAUAAAAGAGGUAUGGUAUACUUUAGCAUUUGAGGGCUAAUGAUAUAUCAAAAGUGUGAGAAAAUUCAGUGCAAGUGACUUCAUCAUGAAACUUUUUUAGUUAGAAAAUGAUAUAAACUUGGAAAGAAGCUCUAGAAAUCCUGUUUGAUUUUUCCUACUGUCUUAUACCAGGUGAACUUAUAUUGGACUGAGAAAAUGAAGUAAUCCAUCGUCAUCAUCAACCUUUUGUUGAGGACUUACUUUGUUCCAGAACUUGAUAUCACAGCAUCAUUUUAUUUCAUCAUUUAAUCCCUUCAAGCAACCUUAAGCUGUGUCUAUGCUGAGCUUCCAGUAGUUCAUCAGUUACACUUCAGAUCUCCCUGGUUCCUGCAGAGAUGUGUGCUCCUGGGUCUUUGCUCUGCAUACUGAAAAACAACAAGAAAAAUGCUUAUUUGCUUUUGGACAGAGAUUCUGAGGUACACCAUGAUCUGGGCAUUGUAAAAGGUAGGUUUUUUUUUUUUCUGUAAAUACAGUAACAAAAGAUGGCAAAACUGAGUGGAAAGUUUAUCUUCAUCAGUAAUUCUAAAGGGAAGAAGGAAGACCUCAACACAGUCUUCCCCAAGUUGUUUAAAAAAAUUCUCUCUCUCGCAUAUGCAAAUACACAUACUAAACAUGCCUAUCUGUACUUCAUAGGUGUAUCUGUAUAUACGAAGGCAUGAUACGAGAGAAAGUAACAUGCCAAACGAAAACUAUAAACGGGGGGUAAAUCAAGGCACUAGUGCUGGAGCAAUAUGGGGUAAGGGAAGUCAAAUACAUGAAGUAUGCAAGAGAAAAGUCACUCAAGUAUCCUGACUAGGAAGUAACCUUAUGAACCAGGGUUGCAGGUGCAGUUUAGAAGGGCGAAGGGGAAGAUCCUGCCGCAGCUCAGCAAAGACAUCAUAAAGGGGUGGAUGAAGAGGUUUCCAAAGCGCUAAGAGACGGACAGAGGAAUGAGCAUGUCCUGGUUGCUAGUGUGGACAUGGAGAUUAUGCACAAGUGUGCCUCCAGAGCCCCAUGACGGGCAGUUUAAGCAAGAUUCUGCUGAGUACAGAAAUAGAGCUGAGACAGCCAAUAUUGAUACCUUAAGAGGAGUCACGAGGACCACGUGAAGGUAUAUUCUAUAGGGAAGCAGAGAUGUAGGACUGAAGCAAGUGUGAGAGGUAGGAAGUGUGGAUAAAGACUGCAGAUAUGCAUUGGGAGCUACCACUGAGAGCAAACAACUUGUUAAAAGAUGUAUAAGCACGUGCAGGGCAAGUGAAAUGGCAAUGUCAAUCCUACUUAUGCACAUAUUUAGCAAAACAAAAUACCUUAUCUCAUUAUCCUCUUCGUUAAUCUGUAUAUUUUCAACUGUCCUUGUGAGAUUCGGUUGUUUCUUCUGGGAAAAGAACAAGGACAUAGAUUGUAGAAACAUCAACGGACAGUAUAAUAUUCAAGAGGUAAAUGGUCUCUACUUUGAUCUUUAUGUCAAUAACUCCAACAUCAGGGUUUUGUUUCCCAGCAUGUAAAAUAUUUCUACAAUAAAAAGUUAUGAAAAAUGCACCGUAUUAGCGACUUAACAUUUUCAGGGUGCUGGAGGUGAAAAAGCAACGAAGAAACAAAGAUUUAAAUGGUAAUCAAAUUCAAAAGACAUUUCAAAAAGUUGAAUCGUAAUGAUUUAGCACAUUUUAAAAUCUGAGACAGGUUUCUGUAAGAAGAGAACAAAAGAAGAAAAAUCCAAAAUAGCAGAUAAUACAAAUGACAUUUCUGUUUGGCUUUAAGUGCAUCAUAUGUUUUUCAGUCUAUUUCUUCCUUUUUACAUUUAGUUCAGGCUAUUAAAACCAGUUAUCAUUUCUUAGGUGUACACUUAAAAACAAUUUUUUUUAACAUUUCUUUA